CUGUUUUUCCAGCAUAGCCAUGCUAUACAAGCAACCUGCCUGUUAGCCCAUUAGUUAGGAAAAAACACAGCAUACAUAGGGUUCAACACUCUCCGAGGUUCCAGACAUCUCCUGGGGGUCUUAGAAUGCAUCACUCAUGGGAUGUGGGCCGCCAGCAUGGCUGCACACAGAGCAGUACAGGUCCACGUCCAGGGAACGGAACCCAGGCCCUUGAAGCAGACCAUGCUGAACUUAACCAGUAGGCCAGCAGGGUUGGCCCAUUAUUCUUUUUUCAAGUUACAACUGAAUGGACAUUCAUUGACCAAUGGAGGAUACCCACAUAUCACAUCAGGACACCUGAGAGACCCACACAGCUAUACAUCUGAAGGUGGAUGGACUAGCUCCCUGGGAAGUGGUGGAGAUAGGGGGGGUGAAGAAGACUGGCCCUGAGCUCACAUCUGUUGCCAAUCUGCCUCUUUUUGCUUAAGGAAGAUUGUCGGUGACCUAACAUCUGUGCCAAUCUUCCUCUAUUUUGUAUGUGGGAUGCUGCCAUGGCAUGGCCUGGUGACUAGUGUGCAGGUCCAUGCCCGGGAUUCAGAUCCACAAACCCUGGGCCACCAAAGCGGAGUGCAGGAACUUAACCACUAUGCCACUGGGCUGGCCCCAAUAAUAUGUUAAUCUUAUUGUUUGAAAUAUUGUGUGAUAAUCUCUAUCUAACACUGUCUACUUAAAUAAUCACAAAAUUGUUUUUCCUUUAUUCAUAGAUUUUCAAAUGCUAAUUUUCCAUUCCUUUGUAAUCACUGUAACCAGAACUUUAUGCAAUUUUUUCUUGACCUUGCUUCUACCCUUGCCACCUCACAAUCUAUUCAUUCCUUAUUCGGAAACCAGAGUGUCCUUUUUUCUCACCUUGCCUUGACUAGCUUCACCUCUUUCUUUCUCGAUAACUUACAUUAAAGGUAAACUGGGCUAUUAGAAUGUAAUGCAGAUUUUGAUUACAUUCUCCACAAUACUCCAAAGGCAAUAAGUGUAUAAAUUUAACUUAAUGCUUAUAUAUGUUAUAACAUAAAUACAAAUGUAUAUUCACAAAUCUGAAACGCAUAAGCAGAAGUAAUUUUUUCAAAGGAAAUGCCCCAGCCAUUUUCAAAACUGAAAGAAACAUUGUAAAAUAUUAUGUGGAUCAACUUAAUAUAUCAUGGAACAGAAAAUUAUUAUAAAUCACAAGGACUUCAAGAAUCUAAAGUUAAAUUUUUUGCAAAAUGUUUAGCAAUAUCUAUGUGAUAUGUAUCUUCAGUGUUGUGCUUCUAUUUUACAUUUAUGAGGGACUUUUGAAUAUUAGUUUCUGAGUGUAUGAAACAGUGCUUUAGGAGGUAUUCUUUUUCAAAUUCACAUUAUUGUUAGGCUGAAAUAUGUCUUACUUCAUUGGCAUGUACUCGUUUUGGGGCAAAGAAAAUUCAUAUUUCCAUUGACUAUGUGUGCUGCUCUAAAAUUUGAUAUUUUUUUCAUUUUUCAUUAUGAUUUAUCAAAUUUGGGAAAGAAGAGUCUGGUUCUUUAGUGAUUUAUAUUAGCAUGCUCCUUUUGGAGGAUAUGAAAGAUGCAUGUAGAAUGAUUGUAUCAACUCAGCAAACAAAAUUACCUUGUAGACCAUGACAUUGUGUACAGGAAAACAUCUAAUAUUUACCAUGUGGACUAAAGUGAAACUAUAAUUAACAUAUCUCUGAUAACCAGAUAUUAAAGGACGACAAAGGCAAAUAAAAUAAAUAAUAUGGUUACAAAGGACAAUUGAUAGUAUCACUUCAUUACAAAUUAUGAGGAUGUGCUUUUUUUUAAUGGACAUGGGAAAAGUUGUUACAUUAGGAUAUUGAUCAAAUAAACAUGUGGUUGAUUUCAUUAAACAGCAAAGUAGAGGAACUACACUCUGAUGUAAUGUGUCUGACUGCAAUGGGACGGUAUGGAUUUUCAGAAAGGCUUCUUGAUUAGUUUGAUUAAUUUACACACAGCAUAUUUUAGUUCCUCCUGGAUUUGUGUAAUAUCUGCACAAAGUGCUUUUUAUAAUAAACUUCUAAAAAUAAAUGAAUCAUAUUUUGUCAUAUUGUGAACUGUUAUGGGAUAUUCAUCUACCAUUUCUCU
ensembl:lncRNA